rnacentral:SRP_RNA from 1 species
GCUGGGUGUGGUGGUGCACACCUGUAAUCCCAGCUACUUGGGAGGCUGAGGCACAAGAAUCACUUGAACCCAGGAGGUGGAGGUUGCAGUGAGCCAAGAUUGCGCCACUGCACUCCAGCCUGAGUGACAGAGCGAGACUCUGUCUCAA